UACAGAGGUCCCAAGCGUUGUUCGGAUUCACUGGGCGUAAAGGGUGCGCAGGUGGUUUGGCAAGUUUGACGUGAAAGCCCCGGGCUUAACCCGGGAAUGGCGUUGAAAACUGCUUGAACUGGAGGUCGGAGGGGGGACUGGAAUUCUUGGUGUAGCAGUGAAAUGCGUAGAUAUCAAGAGGAACACCAGUGGCGAAGGCGAGUCCCUGGACGAUACCUGACACUGAGGCACGAAAGCCAAGGGAGCAAACAGG
rnacentral:rRNA from 1 species